rnacentral:rRNA from 1 species
AUUGAACGCUGGCGGCAGGCUUAACACAUGCAAGUCGAGCGGGGUGAUGGUGCUUGCACUAUCACUUAGCGGCGGACGGGUGAGUAAUGCUUAGGAAUCUGCCUAUUAGUGGGGGACAACAUCUCGAAAGGGAUGCUAAUACCGCAUACGCCCUACGGGGGAAAGCAGGGGAUCUUCGGACCUUGCGCUAAUAGAUGAGCCUAAGUCGGAUUAGCUAGUUGGUGGGGUAAAGGCCUACCAAGGCGACGAUCUGUAGCGGGUCUGAGAGGAUGAGCCGCCACACUGGGACUGAGACACGGCCCAGACUCCGACGGGAGGCAGCAGUGGGGAAUAUUGGACAAUGGGCGGAAGCCUGAUCCAGCCAUGCCGCGUGUGUGAAGAAGGCCUUUUGGUUGUAAAGCACUUUAAGCGAGGAGGAGGCUCUUAAGGUUAAUACCCUUGAUGAGUGGACGUUACUCGCAGAAUAAGCACCGGCUAACUCUGUGCCAGCCGCCGCAGUAA